UAAAUUCUUCGGGGUCGGGUGUAAUUCCCAACCGGCGGUAUAGUCCGCGACCUGUCUUGAUCCGUUAUCUGUGAUAUGAACGGAGAAGAGACGGCUGAACCGGUGACUUUUAUUUUUAUGCAGAUCGCUUCGACAGAGAAUAAGAAGCAGAAGCAUAGAGAAAGAAUUCCGGUACCGACAGUAAAGUCUGGAUGAGAGAAGAAAAGC
rnacentral:ncRNA from 2 species